CCCUUAGAUGUCCUGGGCCGCACGCGCGUUACACUGAUGCAUUCAACGAGCUUAUAACCUUGGCCGAGAGGCCUGGGCAAUCUUGUUAACGUGCAUCGUGAUAGGGAUAGAGUAUUGAAAUUAUUAAUCUUGAACGAGGAAUUCCUAGUAAACGCAGAUCAUCAAUCUGCAUUGAUUACGUCCCUGCCCUUUGUACACACCGCCCGUCGCACCUACCGAUUGGAUGGUCCGGUGAAGCCUCGGGAUUGUGGUUCUUGCCGCUUUAUUGUGGCGUGACCGCGAGAACUUGUCUAAACCUUAUCAUCUAGAGGAAGGUGAAGUCGUAACA
rnacentral:rRNA from 1 species